rnacentral:rRNA from 1 species
UAUCUCUGUAGAGUCUGCAUAUCAAUAAGCGGAGGAAAAGAAACUAACAAGGAUUCCCCUAGUAACGGCGAGUGAAGCGGGAAGAGCUCAAAUUUGAAAUCUUCAAGGUUUUACCUUGACGAAUUGUAGUUUAAAGAAGUGUUUUCGGUUAGAGGAGUAGUAAAAGUUCUUUGGAAUAGGACAUCAUAGAGGGUGAGAAUCCCGUAUUUGGUCAUUCUUUCUAGCUUUGUGAUACACUUUCAACGAGUCGGAUUGUUUGGGAAUGCAGUCCAAAAUGGGUGGUAAAUUUCAUCUAAAGCUAAAUAUUGGCGAGAGACCGAUAGCGAACAAGUACCGUGAGGGAAAGAUGAAAAGAACUUUGAAAAGAGAGUUAAACAGUACGUGAAAUUGUCAAAAGGGAAGCGUUUGACACCAGUGUUGUUUUUCCGAAAAUCAAUUACGAAUGUUUUGUUUUUGAGAAGUUAUGACUUCAUCGGCUUGCUUCUUUCUUUACGAAACUUUCUUAAUGCACUUUUCGGUUAACAAGUCAACAUCAAUUUCUUUUGUUGUAAAAGGGUAUGAGGAAGGUGGCUUUCUUUUCGGAGAAAGUGUUUAUAGCCUUUGGCCUCUGCAAUCGGAGAGAUUGAGGUCUGCAGCGUAGAUCCUUCGGGGUUAGAUACAUUUGUGCUAAGUUAUAGCCUUUCAUAGACAACUUGUUGACUAUGAUCAGUCAUGUAGCUUACUCGCUUAUGCUAUUUUACCUACGCUUAGGAUGUUGACGCAUGAGAUAUACGC